ensembl:lncRNA
AUGGGAACAGGCUGCCUCCAGUCCUGUGCUGGGUGGCAGCUAGGCUUUACGAAGCUGUGACUCUUUCAGAUGCUUGUUUUUGACUGACGUGACAAACCUCAUAGCUGGCAUCCAGUUACAAAUGAAGAGCUGGGGAACGGGCAGAAUUUUAAUGUGCUUGAAGGAGAAAAAUAGCCAUGUUCCAGUUUCUGCCUCCCAAAGAACUGACACCAACUACAGCAAUGAACUUCAUGACACUGAUCCCUGGGAAUGAAGCAGCCUCAGAAAAAUCACUGGACAGGAGGAGAAACUCAACUGAAGGUGUUUGACAGCAGUGUUCUGACUGAUGACAUUCCAGCUUCACCCAAGGACUGUGCCACAUGCCAUCAAAGAAUGGGUCACAUACAACUGUGUCUGCUGUUAAUGCUGCCAAGCGCUCUGGACGUCUUCUGUGCUUCCAAAUGCAACAAUGCCCUGUAGGGACUGAAAGGCCUCACUUAGCGUGUCUUCCCGGAUAGAGAAAAGGGAACCUUCAGAACGAAAAUGAGAUGUCUCUUAAGGAAAGCGUUCUUCCCUCUGCAUUACUGAAAAGCAGGAAUUGUUUUAAGCAGAACAAAAGCAAUACCAAAAGGAAACGUUUGCAAUAUUCAGUAUUCAACGCUGACGCUUUCAAAAGAUGUGUUUCCUUGCGGAGCCAAGCAGUUGACUCCCUGCCACUAAUACCAUUAUUUAUAGUGUGGCACAGGCAAAGGGACUUAAUCCAGCAGACCCCAAAUAGGGCUUCUUCAUUCAUAAGAAAUAUAAGGAAAGUGUGUCUGUACAGCGUCUGGCAAAGUAGUCCUCUGAUCCCUUGCUGGACAGGGAGGAGCUGCCAGCAUUAAGCUUCUUUUCCAAGAAGAUAUUUGCUGAGACUGGAAUAGCCACAAAAUGCACUGCUUUGAAGCCACUGACAGCACAGCACUUCCAAUCUGAAGUCUCUGCUCUCUGCAGAGUACUUCCGAUCUGUAAACUGUUGCCUACAUCCUUAGCAGAGGAAAGUACUGGAGCUUUUAAGAGAGUCUGCAUGUUGGAUUAAAGAGAAGCUGCUAUUGUCUGUGGUACUGACAGUAGCCAAUUUGAGCAUAAGUAUGUGCAAGAGGUCGCAGUGAUGAUGAAGUCAGCUUGUAAAUGUGCCAGGGGACCCAUAAAAGAGCAGCACCUUGGUUUAUAGAUAAGGUCAUGGCAUUGGCAAUGUUCAGAGUUCAGUCUCUUAAAUUAUCAAGAGGAUUUUUUGAUCUGGUAACUGCAAAGAAGAGUAAACUUAAGGAAAAUGUUGCAAGAAAGUGCAGCUGCUUGUUGGAAAGGCAAGCAGUUGUUCGGUUGAGCAGGAGUACAGAAUGUCUGUUUGUGAGCAAUGCUGUAGUGCUCGUUGAGCAGAAAUUGUUUAAAGUUCGGGGGCUUUUGAAAGAGCAUAUCCAUAUAUAUAAAUCGACGGAUACCUCACUACUCGACCUUUUGCAAUAAACAAAGUGUACAAACACAUGUUAAAGGUACAUGAGGCAGUCAUGCAUUGAGGGAAAAUCCAAGUCAUGCAUUUUUGUCUUGAAAAGAUCAGUCCAAGAUUAAUUUUUGGACGCUGAAGCCUUUCAGAAAGUUUUGAAACCUUAAACAUAGGCAAAAGAAGCCUCUCUUAAGAAGGGUCAGUCCUACGUGAGCUCACUCUUUGUGAAAGUCAGGUGAAAACAGAAGUUUUGCAUUUGGCAAAUGUUAUCCAGGCCCUGAGCAGUAGAUGGCAAGCAGUUUGAAAGGAUCCAUCUGCCUCUGGUGACUGCGAGAAGUCUGUUAGCCCAGCCCAGCACGUGAACCAUCACUGCUGGCCUGGAGUAAGGCAUUCAGGGCUUGUUUAGAACAGCCUGGGGAGCAGAACCUUCUGAGGAAGGGAGGGCAAAGCUUCAUCGUGAAGGUGACUGCACAACCACAGAGAGGAGUGAUUUCAGCAUGCUGCUGCCUGGCUUAGCCAAGUGGGUACAUCUAGAAAAUCUUCAAGUUAUGUUUGCUGCUGUGGUCGGUGACAUUAUCAGAUUUCCUAGCACGAAUACUUUUGAGAGGAGCAAGCAUUCAGUUUUUCUUCUUAGGAUCACUUAAUGAGUCAUUAUUUACUUUUGUCUCACAGCAACAAGAAACUGGAUUUCUGGGAAAAAAACGUAAUUGUGCCAGGGUUGGUGCUGAGCGGGUGCAGCAUGCUUCUUGUAAUAAAGCGUCAGCUCAUCACUUGCGAAGUUUCCAGAUAUAACUUCUGUUGUGAUUUCAUAUUCUCCACUAUGAUGCCCAGGGACAGCAGCCUCCUUUCGGAUAGGGUUUGCUCUGUCAGGAGCUUAGAAAGCUCUUUCUGCUCGGAAAAAGGAAAUCCAUUAACAACACGGGGAAAAUCGCAUAAUAUGUUAGGAUGCAGAGUUGAGAAAGGUCAAUUUUUUUUGGUUAUGAUAGCAGGAAUUUUCAGCUCACCAUAUGCAUAGUUUACAAGGAGGAUGAGGGUGCACUCCCCAGUUGUGAUUUUGAGUUGUUGUUUCACUGUGACUCUUGAAUCCAAGAAGUUAUGUCAAUCUGAUCUUUCAGUGUCUUGAUGGUGUCUGGGGAGCAGGGGAAGAAAAAAAUUUACUUGUUUGCCUUAAAGUCUAUUAGUCUGUUUUUUUUUCCUCAUACAAACUGUGGCUGGAUUUUUGUUUUUUGUUUUCAUUCUGUGUGUUUGUUUGUUUCUUAAGCCAAGUAUUGAAACAAACAUGUUGAACAAGUUUAGAAGGCGCUCUCAGAUUUGAGAAAAGGUGAGCGGAUUAUCCAGCUAAGCUCUGGAGUGAUGGAGGACAAGCGCUCAUGUUCAUAGUCAAACGCAUCAGACAAGAGUCUAUCUUCUUACUGCUGGACAAGAGUAACUGUUAAUCUUUGUGCACAUAAAGAAGUUGUUUAUAAAAUGUCCCAACCAGCAUGCAGGCUGUGCAAGAAAGGAAGAGGCAGUUUAAUAUUGAUUUAGGAAGUUGUUCAGGAAGAAGUAGGGAACGGUUUUUGACACCAUGACAGCGUGCAACGUUUGCCUCCUGUCUCCUUCUUGGCUGUGAACUGAGUAGAAGCCGCCUGUACACAAACCAGCUCUUCUGCAUGACUACAGGGCCAGAUCCUGACCUGUUAUAAAUAGAUGCUGACUUCUGCAAAGCUACUCUGUUUUGUGCCAGUUGGGGAUUUGGCCCAAGAUGGCAGGCUGAAAUGUUGGUAGGAAGUCUCUCUGGUUUUUAUUUUCAAAGACUCUUAAAUUCAGCAGCUCUGAAUCCUUGUUAGGGCUACCUCUUUAUUUCCCCCCCCAUCUCUCUUGCUGCUCUUGUACAUUUUGCUUCUCAGCUUUGAAAUUGCAUCAAAUUAAAUUACAGAUUUGUUUUUUUUUAAUUUUUUGUUGUUGUUGUUCCCAACUUGUUCUCCUUUUGAAUGUCAGCUCCAGUGGUAAUACAAGAAGUUUUGGCUCAGCUCCUGAGGUAUGAACUGACUGUAGCCUGUUUCUAAGAUGUCUUUCUCUUAACCAAAAUAUGUAAUAGAUACCUUGUAGCACAAGGCUGCAAGAAACUCCUUGCAGCUUUCUUUAAAAUAGAUCAAGGCGAGCAGUCAGCAAUCUUACAAGCGGGUCUCCCCAGUUCUUGAGCUGCUUGGAAACAAACCGUGGGUCACCUGCAGUACUCCAUUAGCAGUUACUGCUGGAGCUCAAAUCACGCCAUGAAAAAUAUGGAACAAGAAUCUCUCCUCACAGAGAGAGACUGCUGAAUUUUGCAAACUGAUAAGGGAGUUCUUGAGAUGCACAGGGAUGCUUCUUAGCUGAAGUCUUGACUAGAGCUUACAAGUGCCACCGUGAAAUCUUGACUGUUUGCCCAAAUCCCAUUAUCAUUCAGGAAGUUUGUGAUGAGUGGGUUUAAGCUCUAAUCAUGCAAAGCAUAGGAAAGUAUGUGAGAAUACCCACCUUUUAUGGCAUAGCAUUUGUUGGCAGUAUCAGCUUGGUUGUAGCAGAUGAGAUUAAAGGAUUAGGAAGUAAGCCAGAUACCAAACUGCUGCUGCUAAAGUUGUAAUUUGCCAGUAUAUUGAUUACAGUGGAUUUUUCUUAAGCCUUCAGCACAGCAUCCUGUAUCCUUAUUUCUCUGCUAGCUUGUAACUGUAUAUCUUUAAUAAAAUGGAGCCCAUAUUUCAUAAGAAAUGUGAGGUCUCCUAUUGCUGAUGUGUAACCCAUUCGUUUGGUCUAUUUUUGUAGCUGUGUGCAUGAAUUUCUUUUUUUUUUUCUUCUUUUCUCCCCUGUAAUAUUUGCUGAGAGCAAAAAGUAGACUUUGUUAAUAUGAGCAGGGAGACCUGGGCUGCUUCUUUCUGAUACUGGGGGGAGAACAAACUUCUCAGUCUCCUUUGCUGAGGAUCCUGGAGGUACUUCCUGUGAUCCAAGUUCAUUCCUAGAAGACUCUCCAGAAGAGAGCCCUGAGGUUUGUCCUCCCAGACCCUGACUGAUUUGCUUGUUUGUUAUUAUUGUUUUUUAAAUUAGCAUUGUAAAUGUAAGGAAUUGAAUGUUAAGCUCCAGGCUUUCUGUUCUGUGUAAGGUUAUGUUUAAUCGGAAGCAUUUCUCUGCAGGGCUCUCUGUCUGGGAGUGUUUAUUUAAUAGCACCUAGGGAGCAAGCUGAUAGGAAACACAACUGACCUAUUGAGGUGGCAGGAAGGUAGGCUCAAGUGUGACCCUGGUGAAGGGGAAAUUCAGGGAAAUUGCUCCAUCAAGUGUUGAAAGGUAAAACUGGCACUGCAGGACACGAGUCUUCCUUGAGGCCAGGAGCAAAGCGCUCUGCUUAUGUCUCAUAUGGGUGAAACCUGCAAAAUCCCUACCAAGUUUCCUAGGGACAGAUUUCACUCUGAGCUGCAUAGCAUUUUAUGGGUGGACUUCUUUUUAAUCGGAUGUUCGCUCCACUUGAAAUAUUCAACUCAAAACUGAAUUUUUUUUCCAACAGUUGUAAUAAAAGCAAAUAUCUUCUAUGAAUGCAAACAUGUUCAGGUGCAUAAAUUAGAGGUGAAAAUUGGUAUGCUUUGCAAUUAUGCAAUAACGCUUGCAAGAUUUGUAGGGAGAGAAAAGUAAGCAGUCAUUUCACCUUGGAUUUUAAGAGUGUUCUGUUAAAUGUUGAAAGAUAUAAAAGGUGAUGUACCUGUACAAAAUUCCCUGAAAUAAUGCAUAGCCUUAGAUUAUUGCAGGCUUUGUUGCUUCCUUCCAUCAUGGAAGUCAGUACUGAUGUUUCACUUACUCAUUUAGGAUAUUUGCUCUGCUCACCUCCAAGGAAAUGUUCAGCAUCCUUGCAUAGCCCUUGGUUUUUAUCAGAGUGAGUCAGCUCUCAAGGAGCUAAUUCAAUCAAGUGGAACAGUUUAUCUUAACAAACUUUUGACUUCUGGGGUUUUGUGCCAAGCAGCUGGAUUGAAAAGGUGCAUAUCUAUAUAUUUGUUUUCUUUUUUUAGAAAACAAAGCAUUUGCAAGUAGGAAAUGGUCAGGAAUAACUUACAAUGGUGACCUGUUUUUUUUUCUUAAAAUGCAGUGUGAUGAAUAAUUGCAUUAAAAAUGUGAAAAGAGCUCUUAAAUAUUGCUUCUUCAAAACAUUAUUAUUACUUAGCUUUAAAAGCUAUUAGAGAUUUU